CGUUAUUCACUGGUCUCCCUA
rnacentral:miRNA from 1 species